GCAGCCAUGCCGCGUGUGUGAAGAAGGCCUUCGGGUUGUAAAGCACUUUCAGUCGUGAGGAAGAGUGUGUAUUUAAUACAUGCGCACUUUGACGUUAGCUACAGAAGAAGCACCGGCUAACUCCGUGCCAGCAGCCGCGGUAAUACGGAGGGUGCGAGCGUUAAUCGGAAUUACUGGGCGUAAAGCGCAUGCAGGUGGUUCGUUAAGUCAGAUGUGAAAGCCCGGGGCUCAACCUCGGAAUAGCAUUUGAAACUGGCGAACUAGAGUACUGUAGAGGGGGGUAGAAUUUCAGGUGUAGCGGUGAAAUGCGUAGAGAUCUGAAGGAAUACCAAUGGCGAAGGCGGCCCCCUGGACUCAUACUGACACUCAGAUGCGAAAGCGUGGGGAGCAAACAGGAUUAGAUACCCUGGUAGUCCACGCCGUAAACGAUGUCUACUUGGAGGUUGUGGCCUUGAGCCGUGGCUUUCGGAGCUAACGCGUUAAGUAGACCGCCUGGGGAGUACGGUCGCAAGAUUAAAACUCAAAUGAAUUGACGGGGGCCCGCACAAGCGGUGGAGCAUGUGGUUUAAUUCGAUGCAACGCGAAGAACCUUACCUACUCUUGACAUCUACAGAAUCCAUGCGGAGACACAAGUGUGCCUUCGGGAACUGUGAUACAGGUGCUGCAUGGCUGUCGUCAGCUCGUGUUGUGAAAUGUUGGGUUAAGUCCCGCAACGAGCGCAACCCUUAUCCUUGUUUGCCAGCGAGUAAUGUCGGGAACUCCAGGGAUACUGCCGGUGAUAAACUGGAGGAAGGUGGGGACGACGUCAAGUCAUCAUGGCCCUUACGAGUAGGGCUACACACGUGCUACAAUGGCACAUACAGAGGGCAGCUAGCUAGCGAUAGUGAGCGAAUCCCAAAAAGUGUGUCGUAGUCCGGAUUGGAGUCUGCAACUCGACUCCAUGAAGUCGGAAUCGCUAGUAAUCGUGAAUCAGAAUGUCACGGUGAAUACGUUCCCGGGCCUUGUACACACCGCCCGUCACACCAUGGGAAGUGGAUUGCAAAAGAAGCAGGUAGUUUAACCUUCUAGAAGACCCUUGCCACUUUGUGGUUAA
rnacentral:rRNA from 1 species